UACGAAGGUGGCAAGCGUUACUCGGAAUUACUAGGCGUAAAGGGCAGGUAGGCGGUUUGAUAAGUCCGUUGUGAAAGCUCCCGGCUUAACUGGGAGAGGUCAAUGGAUACUGUCGAACUUGAGUAUGGGAGAGGGUACUGGAGUUCCUGGUGUAGCGGUGAAAUGCGCAGAUAUCAGGAGGAACACCGAUGGCGAAAGCAGGUACCUGGACCAUUACUGACGCUCAGCUGCGAAAGCUAGGGGAGCAAACAGG
rnacentral:rRNA from 1 species